rnacentral:rRNA from 1 species
UACAGAGGUCUCAAGCGUUGUUCGGAUUUAUUGGGCGUAAAGCGUGCGUAGGCGGCGAGGUAAGUGAGGUGUGAAAUCCCAGGGCUUAACCCUGGAACUGCACUUUAUACUGCCUUGCUCGAGGGCUGGAGAGGAGACUGGAAUUUACGGUGUAGCAGUGAAAUGCGUAGAGAUCGUAAGGAAGACCAGUGGCGAAGGCGAGUCUCUGGAAAGCUGCUGACGCUGAGGCACGAAGGCCCAGGGGAGCAAACGGG